GACGAACGCUGGCGGCGUGCUUUAACACAUGCAAGUCGAGCGGUAAGGCCCUUCGGGGUACACGAGCGGCGAACGGGUGAGUAACACGUGGGUGAUCUGCCUUGCACUCUGGGAUAAGCCUGGGAAGCUGGGUCUAAUACCGGAUAUGACCACAGGAUGCAUGUUUUGUGGUGGAAAGCUUUUGCGGUGCAAGAUGGGCCCGCGGCCUAUCAGCUUGUUGGUGGGGUAAUGGCCUACCAAGGCGACGACGGGUAGCCGGCCUGAGAGGGCGACCGGCCACACUGGGACUGAGACACGGCCCAGACUC
rnacentral:rRNA from 1 species